ACACAUGAAACAUGGCAAUGUUCAGGGCAGCAUGUGAUUGACUGCCAAAGUGUCUCAAGCAGGAAGUACCAAGGGAGGAUGGAGAUGGGAAUAAUCAGGGUUGGGUGGAGAAUAUCUGAGGAAACUGCACUUGAUUUGGGCCUUGAAGAAUAAUUGACUGGAUUUAGAUUUAUCUAGAAAGGUCGUUCCCAGCAGAAGCAACAAGAACAACAAGCUUGGAGCUGCAUUUCCUCUGAGAGAACAGCGGUCUUCUGUCUGCUGUGGCAAGCAAGUCACUUCUUCUUGUAGUGAGAACUGAAACCAGAACCAUCAUGUGCCACUUCCUGGACACCUCCUAUUAAAUAUUAAAGUCCUCUCACCACAGAAGCCGGAGUUUAGUGGUUAGGGGCACAGGUUCUUAGAUAUGAACAUCAGUUGCAACCUGCCAACUGCAUGCUCUUGGACAAUUUACAUUUCAGUGUAUCAGCUUUCCUUUUUCUUUAGAAUGAGAUAUUAAUAGUAGCAACCCAGAAUUGUCAUGAAGCCUAACUAAGUUUUUAUAUAUAAAGAGAGUUAGAAGAGGGCUUGGAAUGUAACAAUAACUCAAUUAAUAUUGGCCUAUUAUGA
rnacentral:sRNA from 1 species